rnacentral:rRNA from 1 species
UUGACCUCGGAUCAGGUAGGGAUACCCGCUGAACUUAAGCAUAUCAUAGGNGNGGAAGNAA